rfam:Canis lupus familiaris chromosome 26, whole genome shotgun sequence.
AGGAGGAACAACCCCAGUGGCAGCGGCCAGGUCUGAAAACCUGUAUACAGCCCCUGCAGUAACUCCGGAGCAGUCAAUCUGCAGGGUGUGGAGGCUCCGGGGUGGG